GUCAUGUUAUUCAUUGAAAAUUAACCCUACUGACAUAUAUUCACCAUACUUAUUGAUUCUAUAUGAAUGAAUUCCAGAAUACCGCACUUUUUCGGGAGUAAAUCAAUCAAGUCCUAAAGAGAAUAACGCCGGCCGCCACUGGUAGCCAUGAACCAAUUGUGACAUGGCGAAGAGUGCGCUCAGCUAACCGACAUUUCGCGGCUGUUCAAAUCGAUGGAGUUCCCGGCAAAUAUUCCACCGACUGCGAUAGAAAUUCGAUGAAUUUUCUACUUCCUUCGAUGAAAUAGUUGAUCCCACUAUAAUUUUCAACUAGUUUGAGAUACUUUACCAUUAGUUGACAUAUCAAAACAUGGUUUUAUAUGAAUAUUUACUAUUUAUCUUCCA